ACGCAGGCGGACCUUUAAGUAGGAAGUGAAAGGUUGGAGCUCAACUCUAACACUGCUCCCUAUACUGGAGGUCUUGAGUAGCGGAGAGGAAAACGGAACAAGUUGUGUAGCGGUGAAAUGCGUUGAUAUAACUUGGAACACCAAUGGCGAAAGCAGUUUUCUGGACGCAGACUGACGCUCAUGUUCGAAAGCCAAGGUAGCAAACAGGAUUAGAUACCCUGGUAGUCUUGGCCUUAAACGAUGUUCACUAGGUGUUGGGGGGUAACCCUCGGUGCCGCAGCUAACGCAUUAAGUGAACCGCCUGGGGACUACGGCCGCAAGGUUGAAACUCAAAGGAAUUGGCGGGGGACCGCACAAGCGGUGGAGCAUGUGGCUUAAUUCGAUGCAACGCGAAGAACCUUACCAGGGCUUGACAUGUAUCUGCAAGUCGCCGAAAAGCGAUCGCUUUCGAAGGUGAUACACAGGUGGUGCAUGGCUGUCGUCAGCUCGUGUUGUGAAAUGUUGGGUUAAGUCCCGCAACGAGCGCAACCCUCAUCGUUUGUUACCAGCGGAUAAUGCCGGGGACUCGAACGAAACUGCCUCUGUAAAGAGGAGGAAGGCGGGGAUGACGUCAAGUCAUCAUGCCCCUUACGCCCUGGGCUGCACACAUGCUACAAUGGCUGGCACAAAGGGUUGCCAACUCGCGAGAGUGAGCUAAUCCCAAAAAACCAGUCUCAGUUCGGAUCGCAGUCUGCAACUCGACUGCGUGAAGU
rnacentral:rRNA from 1 species